GAUGAACGCUGGCGGCGUGCCUAAUACAUGCAAGUCGAGCGAACAGAUGAGGAGCUUGCUCCUCUGACGUUAGCGGCGGACGGGUGAGUAACACGUGGAUAACCUACCUAUAAGACUGGGAUAACUUCGGGAAACCGGAGCUAAUACCGGAUAAUAUAUUGAACCGCAUGGUUCAAUAGUGAAAGACGGUUUUGCUGUCACUUAUAGAUGGAUCCGCGCCGCAUUAGCUAGUUGGUAAGGUAACGGCUUACCAAGGCAACGAUGCGUAGCCGACCUGAGAGGGUGAUCGGCCACAUUGUAACUGAGACGCGGUCCAGACUCCUACGGGAGGCAGCAGUAGGGAAUCUUCCGCAAUGGGCGAAAUCCCGACGAAGCAACGCCGCGUGAGUGAUGAAGGUCUUCGGAUCGUAAAACUCUGUUAUUAGGGAAGAACAAAUGUGUAAGUAACUAUGCACGUCUUGACGGUACCUAAUCAGAAAGCCACGGCUAACUACGUG
rnacentral:rRNA from 1 species